rnacentral:tRNA from 1 species
GCGAGAGUAGCUCAAUUGGAUAGAGCGUAGCCUUGCCAAGGCUAAGGUUGAGAGUUCGACCCUCUUCUCUCGCA